ensembl:snoRNA
AAGCAUACCUUGCCUGGCUCUACUCAUGGCUAGGCAGGGCAGGGGCGAUAGUAUAUGCAAAAGUAAUUGGAGUUUAUGCUAACUCUAACCUGUUUAGUCAGUAACUGGGUAAACUGCAGUACUUGAACAUUC